UACAGAGGUCCCAAGCGUUGUUCGGAUUUACUGGGCGUAAAGGGUGCGUAGGUGGCGAGGUAAGUUUGAUGUGAAAUCUCCGAGCUCAACUCGGAAAUGGCAUUGAAUACUAUCCCGCUUGAGGGUCGGAGGGGAGACUGGAAUUCUCGGUGUAGCAGUGAAAUGCGUAGAUAUCGAGAGGAACACCAGUGGCGAAGGCGAGUCUCUGGACGACUCCUGACACUGAGACACGAAAGUGUGGGGAUCAAACAGG
rnacentral:rRNA from 1 species